GUGGGGAAUAUUGGGCAAUGGGCGAAAGCCUGACCCAGCAACGCCGCGUGAAGGAAGAAGGUCUUCGGAUCGUAAACUUCUAUCCUUGGUGAAGAUAAUGACGGUAGCCGAGAAGGAAGCCCCGGCUAACUACGUGCCAGCAGCCGCGGUAAUACGUAGGGGGCGAGCGUUGUCCGGAAUGACUGGGCGUAAAGGGCGCGUAGACGGCUGUCUAAGUCUGGAGUGAAAGUCCUGUUUUCAAGGCGGGAAUUGCUUUGGAGACUGGAUGGCUUGAGUGCGGAAGAGGUAAGUGGAAUUCCCAGUGUAGCGGUGAAAUGCGUAGAGAUUGGGAGGAACACCAGUGGCGAAGGCGGCUUGCUGGACAGUAACUGACGUUGAGGCUCGAAAGCGUGGGGAGCAAACAGGAUUAGAAACCCUUGUAGUCC
rnacentral:rRNA from 1 species